rnacentral:rRNA from 1 species
GUGAGUGGCGAACUGGUGAGUAACACGUGGGAAACCUGCCCAGAAGCGGGGGAUAACACCUGGAAACAGAUGCUAAUACCGCAUAACAACUUGGACCGCAUGGUCCGAGUUUGAAAGAUGGCUUCGGCUAUCACUUUUGGAUGGUCCCGCGGCGUAUUAGCUAGAUGGUGGGGUAACGGCUCACCAUGGCAAUGAUACGUAGCCGACCUGAGAGGGUAAUCGGCCACAUUGGGACUGAGACACGGCCCAAACUCCUACGGGAGGCAGCAGUAGGGAAUCUUCCACAAUGGACGAAAGUCUGAUGGAGCAACGCCGCGUGAGUGAAGAAGGAUUUCGGCUCGUAAAACUCUGUUGUUAAAGAAGAACAUAUCUGAGAGUAACUGUUCAGGUAUUGACGGUAUUUAACCAGAAAGCCACGGCUAACUACGUGCCAGCAGCCGCGGUAAUACGUAGGUGGCAAGCGUUGUCCGGAUUUAUUGGGCGUAAGCCGAGCGCAGGCGGUUUUUUAAGUCUGAUGUGAAAGCCUUCGGCUCAACCGAAGAAGUGCAUCGGAAACUGGGAAACUUGAGUGCAGAAGAGGACAGUGGAACUCCAUGUGUAGCGGUGAAAUGCGUAGAUAUAUGGAAGAACACCAGUGGCGAAGGCGGCUGUCUGGUCUGUAACUGACGCUGAGGCUCGAAAGUAUGGGUAGCAAACAGGAUUAGAUACCCUGGUAGUCCAUACCGUAAACGAUGAAUGCUAAGUGUUGGAGGGUUUCCGCCCUUCAGUGCUGCAGCUAACGCAUUAAGCAUUCCGCCUGGGGAGUACGGCCGCAAGGCUGAAACUCAAAGGAAUUGACGGGGGCCCGCACAAGCGGUGGAGCAUGUGGUUUAAUUCGAAGCUACGCGAAGAACCUUACCAGGUCUUGACAUACUAUGCAAAUCUAAGAGAUUAGACGUUCCCUUCGGGGACAUGGAUACAGGUGGUGCAUGGUUGUCGUCAGCUCGUGUCGUGAGAUGUUGGGUUAAGUCCCGCAACGAGCGCAACCCUUAUUAUCAGUUGCCAGCAUUAAGUUGGGCACUCUGGUGAGACUGCCGGUGACAAACCGGAGGAAGGUGGGGAUGACGUCAAAUCAUCAUGCCCCUUAUGACCUGGGCUACACACGUGCUACAAUGGAUGGUACAACGAGUUGCGAACUCGCGAGAGUAAGCUAAUCUCUUAAAGCCAUUCUCAGUUCGGAUUGUAGGCUGCAACUCGCCUACAUGAAGUCGGAAUCGCUAGUAAUCGCGGAUCAGCAUGCCGCGGUGAAUACGUUCCCGGGCCUUGUACACACCGCCCGUCACACCAU